CAAUAGCGUAUAUUAAAGUUGUUGCGGUUAAAAAGCUCGUAGUUGGAUUUCUGCUGAGGACGACCGGUCCGCCCUUCGGGUGAGUAUCUGGUUUGGCCUUGGCAUCUUCUUGGUGAACGUAUCUGCACUUGACUGUGUGGUGCGGUACCCAGGACUUUUACUUUGAGGAAAUUAGAGUGUUUCAAGCAGGCAUACGCCUUGAAUACAUUAGCAUGGAAUAAUAAGAUAGGACCUCGGUUCUAUUUUGUUGGUUUCUAGAGCUGAGGUAAUGAUUAAUAGGGAUAGUUGGGGGCAUUCGUAUUUAACUGUCAGAGGUGAAAUUCUUGGAUUUGUUAAGGACGGACUACUGCGAAAGCAUUUGCCAAGGAUGUUUUCAUUGA
rnacentral:rRNA from 1 species